CGAGCUACUAAUGGUCACAAAUCAGAAUAGUACAAUGUUUCUGCUGUUUUCUGAAGCUACAUUAGAAAGCCAGAGGUGUUUACUUGAAGUUCUGCCAUGUUAAUGUUUAUGUGCUUGCUUUAAAAUGCUGUAGUUCUUUAACUAAUCAUGCAUUGUUAACCUCUUGGAAAAGGCAGCGCUUCAGACUACGGUGUUUGCACAGCAGAUUGUAAAAUUGUGUCUCAGAGCUCCAAGGGGGCUAGAACUGUCACGAAUACUUCUAAUAAUAUUGGAAGAAAAUUAAUAGAAGCUCAAGUCCUUGAGCAGGAAUCAGAAUCACACAGCACGGCAUUAUGCAGCCUCUGAAAUUUGAGGAACUGCUGUACAACAUUUCCCAUGCUCAGUUGAGUAGCCAUGUUUUAUCCUCCAGUAAAUGUUUAUUCGGCUGAUCUUACAUUUGGGAAAACUACGGAAUUAUUCAAGGCCAAAUUGCCAGUCCUGCCGAGAUCAUUCAGAGUGCUCUUGAUGUGGUUGUUCAUUGAACCAUCUGCUGAAAGACUAGAGGAGUGGCAGACAAAACAGUGGCUGAAGAAAGCUUUACUAAAUUGUUUUCAUUUCCACCAAAAGGACUGAGGAGCACUGUGAGACUGACUGUUCUUUGUGCUGAACUCAAGAGACAGCAAACUCAAUACUGGGCCUUCCAGAAUUGCAAAUGUCUGCCCAGUGGCCUGAUGAAAAACAUCCUUUGGGUGAUAAAAUGAGUUGCAUGCAAAUGACAAGUAGGUUUGAUGUGCCCUGAAAACAUUCAGCUUGGAGUGACCUGUGAUCGUAAAUUACUGGCAUGCUGCAUCAGAUCCUAGACUUGUAAUUUCAUCAAGAUCAACAAGAUGCAAUCUUGAAAACUGUUUGCAUGAUGUGAGGACAAAUUGAUGCCCUUGUCCUUCCAGACUGCUGGAUCUGAUGCUCGGGAGUCUGACUACUUUGUGUCUCUAAGUAGCAGCAUAGGGCCUUUGUAAAUAAUUAAGUAGAAAUUUGUUACCCUUUUGUCAAAUGUAUUUCUGAUGUUUCUCUUCCUUAGCCUCCAUUAAGAAAUCCCUUGAUUAAAUUUUAAAGUCUUAAACAAUUUGAAGGGCUGAGAGCACAGGAC
ensembl:lncRNA